UACGUAGGGAGCAAGCGUUGUCCGGAUUUAUUGGGCGUAAAGGGCUCGUAGGUGGUUCGGUAAGUCGGAUGUGAAAAAUCUGGGCUCAACCCAGUCAAGCAUCCGAUACUGCUGUGACUAGAGUUCGGUAGAGGAGUGUGGAAUUCCUGGUGUAGCGGUGGAAUGCGCAGAUAUCAGGAGGAACACCAACAGCGAAGGCA
rnacentral:rRNA from 1 species